rnacentral:lncRNA from 1 species
UUAUAUAUCUUAACUAAUUAGAAAAGAAAGAAUAUAAUAUCUACCGAUUUCUAAUAUUCAAGUAUAUUCCAAUAUUAAAAAUGGUUACCUAUUUGUAUAUACAUAUGCCUAUAAUUCAACUAAUUAAUUAGUCUUAAAAAGGGUUACCUAUUAGUAUUAUGAGUUUAUUCAUGUCUUUUCUAAUAGUUAAUCACUGAGUAGCAUUAGGACAUGUCCAAUGCUACUUGAAGGGAGCUCCAAUAUAGGGUUUGCUAUGCUCGAAUCAUGGACAUUUUAUAUUGUGUGUUUUUAAAAUGUGGAUUGAGUAGGACCUAAAGAUGAUAGACGAUUUACUAUUGGCUAUUGCGUUUUUGUGAGAGGAAUUUGAUAUCUUGGAGAAUUAAGAAGCAAAAUGUAAUCUCUAGAUUCAAUAUAGAAUCUGAUGCCAAUUAUUCUCCAAUUAUACCAGAAGAAAAGGAAAAAAAAAAAUUUGGAUGGUGUAUUCUAGAAGGGGCAAGAAUAUUUUGAAAUAGAGCUAGCUCAACUUACUUCUGUUAAGAGUAAUUUGUGAAAUAUGUGAAACAACAACAUAGCUUUAUCACUGUGAGAAAAGGGAUGGAUGGGAGAUAGGUUGAGUAUUGAAAAUUUUUUCUAGCUAUUGUGGGGCAACAUUUUUAUUGUUGAGGUGUUAGCGAGAUUUUAUAUUUGGGUUUCCACUUUUGUUGCUUAUUUAGAUAAAUAAAAAUUUUCUUCAAGUUUAUUACUGUUGCAAUAUAAUUUUUGGCUGUUUUUGUUUUCCCUGAUAUUGUUAUAUUAUUUUAGUUUCUAAUUCUAUCGUUGGUCCAACCUGUCAUUCUAAUGCUAAACACUAAAAUGCUUGACUCAAUACAAAGGAAUUUGAAUGUUCUUGAAGAUGGUUUUUCCAAAUUAAUGACAUACAAUGCCCAAAUUCAUACGAAUAUUUUACCAUUGAAACUUUACACCUAAUAUUGUAUGAGGAAAAACUACUGUCAUUUAAGGGAAAGUUUCAAACCCCACUUAUGCUAGCUUGAGGUGCCAAUACUGAUGAUUCAGUAUGCCAAGUGUCGACAACCUAUUAUUCUUACUAUUGAGGAUUCUAGCUUUUUUGUAAGUAGUUGAAACUACCUACAUUUGAAAAUAGAAGGAUCUCAUUGGAUGGCUCACUCGUGCCAAACACUACUUUGCCGUUCAUAACACUCAAGAGUAUCUCAAAGUCCAUAUUGCUCUAAUUUGCAUACAGGGCACUACCUUAGAUUGGUUGCAAUGGCUUUGUCACACCACCUAAUACUUACCUAACUCAGUUUUCCAUUAGAACUUCUCACUUGCUAUGGCUCAAAUAUGCUAGCAAGUUCUUUUGAGCAUUUGGAAGUAGUGACUGGUGAAGCAAAGUAGCAUCGUUAAUACAUUAAUGAUUUUAUAGCUUGUGCAGCUCAUGUACCCAAUAUCUCAUAUCAACAUUAUAUGGGUUAUUUUUUGAAGGUUAAGGGAGUAGGUAUGGGUUUGUCUUUGCAACUAUGAAGUGAUAAAUUUGGAUCUAGCUAUGGUCACAAACCCUAAGAUAGAGCGAGAGUUGCAAACUACUCGUUCUAAUCUCAUCUUAGGGUCACCAGAAAUGAGGAAGAAAAUCGACUCUUUAUGAGCUGGGUUUUAGAGCUUCUUUUACUUGAUUCAAAACCCAUUCUUCUCCAUCUACAGGCUUUUUCCUUGUUAGGCCUAUAGAUAAAGUCCACUUUAUAUUAAACAUAUCUAGGCCAGUUCCACGUACGACAUUUUCCAUUAGAUACUAGCAACUUGUUGCCAUUACCAAACUUAGGAACAUUCAACAAUGUUCCAAUCAAGAGUUUCAGAACUUGUGUGUUAAGGGUUUAUCUUUUCGUUGCAAAUAACCCUAUUGUCCUCUUCAUUAAUGACCUAAUAAAUCCUUAUGUACCCUAAUUGCUAUUAAAUAUGAGAAUGCUACUAUUCUUGUUGAGCUAGACCCUGUCGAGCUUCAAGAAUCUACAUCUCCCUUAUCUAAAGUAAUAGGGAGACACUUUAAUAAGAUGGAUUUACCUUUAUUGUCCGUCUAUAGCAUACAACCCAAAUUAAUGAAACUUCAACAUAUAAUAGCAUCAACCCUUGUUAUUUUGAUGGUAGACAAUGGUGCUUCACAUUGUUUGAUUUCUCGAAAAUUGGUUCUAUUACUUGGUCUUCCUACAUCCUAAUGCUCUAACAAUUACUUUUGUUGUGAGGUUGGGAGAUAGCUGUUGUGAACAUUUUUCAAUUUGUAAUCUUUCCAUUUAUUUGGGACCUACAUUUAUUUCACUGGAAUAUUUUAUAUUUCCUUCGAGUGGUGUGGAUAUAAUUUUGGAUAUAUUUUGUUUAUAGACACUAGUAGACAUUAAAGUGAAUUGGUGCAAACUUUCCAUAAUAUUUUUACAUGAGGAUCACUGAGCUACACCAUUGGGCAAUCCUUUUCUCUAUCAUUUUCCAACUAGUCUUCAUUCAGUUCUUAAAUUACAUGAUAUUAAUUAUGGUGUGCUAUCAUGGAUUUUUCUUCCUUAGGGCCUUCUAAUGCCUUAAAUAUUGAUGAAUUCUUCAUAGAAUUCCACAUUGCAGUCCCUGUUACAAAAAUUUAUUUCUACAUUUUUGGACUUCUUCCACUUACCUCCAUGACCCACAAAUCAUUCCAUUCCAUUGCAAUCUAGGAUCGGGUCAACUUCAGUUUAUUCCCAUUGGUAUUUGUACCAUCAGAAGAUAGAAUUUAAAUUACAGUCAGUGGCUAUGACACGUAAUAGAAAUAGACUUGUAAUAGUCAUAACACAACGAUAACAGCCUAGUGCUAUGCAAAACUCAUGAAAUGAAGAGACAUUUAAAGAUACGAGUAUAACUAAGAGCAUUAAAACAUCGAAUAAAGACAUUCAAUCCAUCAUGUUAGACAUUUUUAAUAAUAAUUAAUUUAUAGCUAAAAUAACAAUUUAGAUAAUAGUGAAGAAUAAUUCUUCAUACUCAAAAUUUAAAAAAAUAAAAAGAACUUGGCAUUUGUUAAAGGAGAAGCCCUUAACAAGAAAUUAGAUGAGAAGGAAGGGUUUAGAGGAAGAAGGAAGAAAAAAAAAGAGAGAAGGAAUCUGAGAGAGAAAGGUGAGAUUGUAUUUUUUAUUAACUUUUCAACAUGCAUUAAAGACUAUAUCUCCCUCAAUUUAUAGUUAUGGUUGUUAUAACUAACAAUUAGUACUGUUAUAUAACUAAUUCAGCUCAUAUACACACAUUCUGACCAAUCUUUUCUUAUUCUACUUAUUUACUAUUAUUGCUACGGAACUUCUGGACCCUUCUUCUUAUUCCUCUUCCGAUAUGUGACAAUACCCUCUCCAUUGGUACUUUCUUGACCCCAAGAAAGUGGGAUGUCUGGAAAUUAGGAGGUAAUAAAAGACUGUUUCUUUUAGGUUGCAUCAUCUUUAAGUAGGUUCUGCCAUUUAAUGAGGCCUUGCAAAACUGUGGUGGAUCCUCUAGUGAUAGCUCUAGUAUGUAAAACUUGUUCUGGGGCUAUGAUAACUUCUCCUUCCUGCAUCAGUGGCAAGUCCCCCAAAGGAGUAUUAUACUCUCUCAACCUUUUCUUCGACAUUGAAACAGGGAAGACUGGGUGAAUGGUAGAAGUNNNNNNNNNNNNNNNNNNNNNNNNNNNNNNNGAUAUAGUCCUAAUUAUUUAGCAUAAUUGUAGAUACACUUAUAUAUCUUAACUAAUUAGAAAAGAAAGAAUAUAAUAUCUACCGAUUUCUAAUAUUCAAGUAUAUUCCAAUAUUAAAAAUGGUUACCUAUUUGUAUAUACAUAUGCCUAUAAUUCAACUAAUUAAUUAGUAUUAAAAAGGGUUACCUAUUAGUAUUAUGAGUUUUGACCCCAAGAAAGUGGGAUGUCUGGAAAUUAGGAGGUAAUAAAAGACUGUUUCUUUUAGGUUGCAUCAUCUUUAAGUAGGUUCUGCCAUUUAAUGAGGCCCUGCAAAACUGUGGUGGAUCCUCUAGUGAUAGCUCUAGUAUGUAAAACUUGUUCUGGGGCUAUGAUAACUUCUCCUUCCUGCAUCAGUGGCAAGUCCCCCAAAGGAGUAUUAUACUCUCUCAACCUUUUCUUCGACAUUGAAACAGGGAAGACUGGGUGAAUGGUAGAAGUAGGAGAUAGUUGGAGCUUAUAAGCAACCUUCCCACUCUAUAACUUUGAAGGGCCCAUAAAAUUUGGUAGAAAGCUUGAGAUUAGUUUUUAAGGCCACAAAAGAUUAUCUGUAGUGUUGCAACCUUAAAUAUACCCAAUCUCCCACUUCAAAUUCUCUCUCAGUUCUCUCUUUGUCUGCCUGUUGCUUCAUUCUAUUUUGGGUCAAUGCUAAAUUUUCUUUGACGGUAGCAAUAAGCUGUGUUUUUGUGACAAGUCCUCUUAGAAUCCACAAUAGGUGUUAUUUAGGUAUUAAGGGCAAAAAGGAAGGGGAAUAGCCAUACAAUGCCUCAAAGGGUGACAGUUUAAUAGAGCUGUGGAAAGUGGAAUUAUACCACCAUUUUACUAAACUGAGCCACUUGGACCAAGCAGCUGGUUGAGAGUGGCACUUGCACCUGAGAUAAGCUUCUAGACACUGGUUGAACCUUUUUGUUUACCCAUUUGUUUGAGGGUGAUAGGUUGUGCUAAGGGUGAGAAUGGUGGCCAUGCACUUAAAGAAAUCCUUCUAGAAUAGAUUUGUAAAAACUUUUCCCCUGUCAGACAUAACAUAUUCAGGUGCUCCAUACAAUUUGAACACAUGAUCCAUGAAAAGUUUGGCCACAGUGGAUGCUGGAAGGGAAUGAGAGAGGAAUAAAGUGCCCAUACUUUGUUAAUUUGCACAUUACCACCAAAAUAGUAUCCUUACCCUAGACUUAGGAAGACUCUCAACAAAAUCCAUUGAGAUAUGCUACCAGGGUUGGCUGGGAAUGGGAAGGGGUUGCAGCAGGCCUAGACUGGCGACAUUCUCAUGUUUACACCUAGCACAAGUGUUACACCCUUUAAUCCAUUUGACAACAUCAAUGAGCAUUCCAGGCCAAUAAAAGUGUCUCUUCAGCUUGAUGUGAGUACCAUUAAUUGCAAAGUGACCACCCAUUAGAGAGCCAUGAUACAUUGCUAGUAACUGAUGCCUAAGCCCUAUAAUUGUACCCACAUAAAGCUUACCUUUGUGGUACAAUAAGCGAUUUUUGAAUUGGAACCCAGAUUGGGCAUUAGUGUCUACUGAAACUGUUUAAUAAGCUCAGCAGCUUGUCAUCCCCUCAUAACUUUGAGAAACAGAAGUCAUCCAUUUAGAAGUGAUAGAUGAUUGCGACAUAAAGGAGGCAGUAGUUACUGCAUUGGGUUGCCUAGAUACGGUAUCAGCAACCUUAUUUUCUACCCAUUUUCUAUAGAUAAUUUUGUAAUCUAACUCCAAAAGUUUAGAAAUACCUUUGUGCUGCAAAUGUGAAUGCAAUCUCUGUUCUAUCAAGAAUUUAAUACUCUCAUGACCAGUUUUGAUAAAAAAACUAUCCUUGCUCAAGAUAAUGCCUCCACUUUCCCGCUGUAAAGGAGAUUACAAGAAGCUCCAUAUCAUACACUGAUAACCUUGACUUCUAAGACUAAAUGCCUUUGAAAUAAAGGUAAUAGGGUGGCCUUCUUGCUGGCUGCACCCAUUACCCAAUUAUUUGUAUAUGUCUCAAUUGAAAGAGGUAAGGAAAAUUUUGGCAUAGCCAAUAUAGGAGCCUUAGUCAUUGCUUUUCUGAAUGUAAGAAAAGCUUGCUGAGCUGUGGAAGACCAUUGAAAGGCAUCCUUCUUGAAUAUGUCUGUUAAGGGCUCGACUAAUAUGCCAUAAUGGAAGAUUAAUUUCCUAUAAUACUCGGUCAGUCCUAAGAAACUUUUUAACUUCUUGAUUGAUGUUGGAACUAGCCAAUUUACCAUAACUUCCACCUUCUUUGGGUUUGUGGCUACGCAUUCCUUAGAGAUUAUAUGCUCCAAAUACUCUAAUUCUCCUUAAAGGAAGGAACACUUGGACUGUUUGGCACACAAUUGUUGUUGCUGCAGUACUUGAAAAACAUUCUCUAGGUGCUCUAAAUGAGAUGACAAGUUAGGGUUGUAUACUAGGAUAUCAUCAAAGAAAACCAAUACAAACUUCUUGAGGAAGGGUUUAAAGAUCUCAUUCAUCAAGGAUUGAAAUGUUACAGGGGCAUUAGUAAAGCCAAAGGGCAUCACACUGAAUUCAUAAUGAUCUUAGUAAGUUCUAAAGGCUAUUUUAGGGAUGUCAGGAGGGUCCAUCCUAAUUUGGUGAUAUCCAACCUUAAGAUCAAUCUUAGAAAACACAACUGCCUCAUGUAACUCAUCCAAUAAGUCAUCAAUCAUAGGUAUGGAAAUUUUGUCCUUGAUAGUCAUAUCAUUGAGCUUUCUAUAAUCCACACAAAAUCACCAUGUUCCAUCCUUUUUCUUAACUAACAAGACAGGGGAAGUAUAGGGACUUUUACUGGGUUGGAUAAUAGAAGAAGCUAGCAUUUCAUAAACCAGUUUCUCAAUCUCAACUUUGUGAUAGUGGGGAUAUUUGUAGGGUCUGAUGUUAACAGGAGAAGCUUCAGGUUUGAGAGGGAUGAUAUAAUUAUGGCCUCGAAAAGCUGGUAGUGUGGGGACUCUUGAAAGAUAGUAUCAUAUUUCUAGAGCAACACUUUUAGUGCAGGGUGUUUUGGGGCAGUUUCAGUGAUGGGAUGCUGAUCAAAACUGGGCAAACUGGGGACUGAGAUUAGAAAUAAGGGAGAGUGAAAAUUCUUCCCUUGUUUAUGCAUUAAUUCCUGGAAUUCUUCAUAAUGGCCCAUCAUAGCAGUGUUCACAACAUUUGUUAUCCCUUGCAGAGUUACCACUUUUCCACUUCUCUUAAAUGUGGUUAAAUGUGGUUUUGGAGAAUUCAAAAAUUAUAUCAAAUCCUCCUAUAUCAAAUAGAAGGGGAUUGACGCUCCUCAUCCAGCCCACUCCUAAAAUUAUAUCAAAUCCUCCUAUAACUAGCACCCUGAAGUAAAACAAAAUUGUUGGCUUUGAAUCUUCUAACUAAAAGACUCCUACAAAUGUCUGCAAGUUAUUUUUCUUCCAUCUACCACAGUGAUAGCAGUGGAAGAAAUUUGAAUGAGAGGCAGCCCCAAAUCAUCCAUCACUUUCAUAUCUAUGAAACUAUUUGUACUUCCAUUAUCCACAAGAAUAACUAAUUGUAUGUUCUUAUAACCCCUAACAUCUUAAUUUUUUUCAUUCCCUGACUUCCUUUCACUGCAUGAAUAAAAAAGGUUGCCUCCUUAGGUUGUUCCUAUUAUUCCAUAACUUUUGGAGUCUCAUGUCUUACUUCCUCUCCAUUAUCAUCCAGUCCUCCUCCAUGUACUGCCAUAAUAGUUUUUGAUUUGCACUGAUGCCCUAGGAAGUACCUUUCCCCACACUUAUAAUAAGGUCUAGGAUUAUUUCUAUUACUAGAAGUAGGUGGCAGGGUAUUGCUAGAAGUGGUUGAUGUUUAGGCAGGCACAGGUGUAUUGGUGGCUGUUUGGGACCUAGUGUUGGAAUUAGAGGGUUUCUGAGUGGAUGACAUGUCUGUAAUCGGUGGCUUAGGUGGAUAUGGAUGUGUUUGGCUAAAUUGAGUGGUUCUGUUGGUGUUUGGGUAGGAGUUUGCAGAAGAAUUUUGUAUUUGGUAAGCAUUUUUGGGAGUGUUUGGAUAAGAAAAGGUCUUGUAAGGAGGUUGAGGCUUUUUACUACUCUUCAGUAGCUGCUCUUGCAAUCUUGCUAUCUUAAAUGCUGGUAUAAAUUGGCAGGUUUAAUCAUCCUCGCCAUAGGUCUUGUAUCAUCCCUUAAUCCACUUAUGAAGGCUAAUUAAAAUAUGCUUCAUCCAAUUCAGGCAUAACUCUCUCCAUUCUCACUCUCAACCCUUCAAACACAUCUUGGUACUCAACUACAAAAUUUUCCUGUUUGAAUUCCUCUACAAUAUCCUCUAUACCCUGCUCCCCAAAUCUAUUGCAAAUACUCAUCAUAAAUUCUUCCCAUGAAUUGGAUCCAUUCUUAAUCCAAUUUUGAGACCAUGCAUCAGCCCUUUCAAUUAAAAACAACCUAGCAAUAUUAACCCUCUAUUCUCUCGAUACAUUAUACGUCUUAAAAUACUUCUCACACUUCCUAAUCCAACACCUUGGAUUCACCCCUUCAAAUGCAAUUAAUUUAAUUUUAGGCAAUAAUUUAGACAUGCCUUCAAAAUCAAUUCUAGAUUCGAGAUUCUCCUUGUCUCGGUUGGGUAGAAUUCCUCGGCUCUCUCCUCUUUUACCACUUCUAGACGAUGUCUUCCCUUCCACAUGGGUUUCUUUUCCUUCAUCUCCUACCAGAUGCACUAACAGGGAUCGUAACUCANNNNNNNNNNNNNNNNNNNNNNNNNNNNNNNNNNNNNNNNNNNNAUGUCAGGAGGGUCCAUCCUAAUUUGGUGAUAUCCAACCUUAAGAUCAAUCUUAGAAAACACAACUGCCUCAUGUAACUCAUCCAAUAAGUCAUCAAUCAUAGGUAUGGAAAUUUUGUCCUUGAUAGUCAUAUCAUUGAGCUUUCUAUAAUCCACACAAAAUCACCAUGUUCCAUCCUUUUUCUUGACUAACAAGACAGGGGAAGUAUAGGGACUUUUACUGGGUUGGAUAAUAGAAGAAGCUAGCAUUUCAUAAACCAGUUUCUCAAUCUCAACUUUGUGAUAGUGGGGAUAUUUGUAGGGUGUGAUGUUAACAGGAGAAGCUUUAGGUUUGAGAGGGAUGAUAUAAUUAUGGCCUCGAAAAGCUGGUAGUGUGGGGACUCUUGAAAGAUAGUAUCAUAUUUCUAGAGCAACACUUUUAGUGCAGGGUGUUUUGGGGCAGUUUCAGUGAUGGGAUGCUGAUCAAAACUGGGCAAAUUAGGGACUGAGAUUAGAAAUAGGGGAGAGUGAAAAUUCUUCCCUUGUUUAUGCAUUAAUUCCUGGAAUUCUUCAUAAUGGACCAUCAUAGCAGUGUUCACAACAUUUGUUAUCCCUUGCAGAG